GCCCGGGUGGUGAAAUUGGUAGACACAAGGGACUUAAAAUCCUCGGAGCUUAACCUCCGUGCCGGUUCGAUUCCGGCCCCGGGCACCA
rnacentral:tRNA from 1 species